GAUGAACGCUGGCGGCGUGCCUAAUACAUGCAAGUCGAGCGAACGGACGAGAAGCUUGCUUCUCUGAUGUUAGCGGCGGACGGGUGAGUAACACGUGGAUAACCUACCUAUAAGACUGGGAUAACUUCGGGAAACCGGAGCUAAUACCGGAUAAUAUUUUGAACCGCAUGGUUCAAAAGUGAAAGACGGUCUUACUGUCACUUAUAGAUGGAUCCGCGCUGCAUUAGCUAGUUGGUAAGGUAACGGCUUACCAAGGCAACGAUGCAUAGCCGACCUGAGAGGGUGAUCGGCCACACUGGAACUGAGACACGGUCCAGACUCCUACGGGAGGCAGCAGUAGGGAAUCUUCCGCAAUGGGCGAAAGCCUGACGGAGCAACGCCGCGUGAGUGAUGAAGGUCUUCGGAUCGUAAAACUCUGUUAUUAGGGAAGAACAUAUGUGCAAGUAACUGUGCACAUCUUGACGGUACCUAAUCAGAAAGCCACGGCUAACUACGUG
rnacentral:rRNA from 1 species